CUCUAGAGAUAGAGCCUUCCCCUUCAGGGGACAAAGUGACAGGUGGUGCAUGGUUGUCGUCAGCUCGUGUCGUGAGAUGUUGAGUUAAGUCCCGCAACGAGCGCAACCCUUAAACUUAGUUGCCAGCAUUUAGUUGGGCACUCUAGGUUGACUGCCGGUGACAAACCGGAGGAAGGUGGGGAUGACGUCAAAUCAUCAUGCCCCUUAUGAUUUGGGCUACACACGUGCUACAAUGGACAAUACAAAGGGCAGCUAAACCGCGAGCUCAUGCAAAUCCCAUAAAGUUGUUCUCAGUUCGGAUUGUAGUCUGCGACUCGACUACAUGAAGCUGGAAUCGCUAGUAAUCGUAGAUCAGCAUGCUACGGUGAAUACGUUCCCGGGUCUUGUACACACCGCCCGUCACACCACGAGAGUUUGUAACACCCGAAGCCGGUGGAGUAACCAUUUAUGGAGCUAGCCGUCGAAGGUGGGACACAUGAUUGGGGUGAAGUCGUAACA
rnacentral:rRNA from 1 species